rnacentral:rRNA from 1 species
UACGAAGGGGGCUAGCGUUGUUCGGAAUUACUGGGCGUAAAGCGUAUGCAGGCGGAUCGUUAAGUCGGGGGUGAAAUCCCGAGGCUCAACCUCGGAACUGCCUUCGAUACUGGCGACCUUCGAGUCCGGGAGAGGUGAGUGGAACUCCGAGUGUAGAGGUGAAAUUCGUAGAUAUUCGGAAGAACACCAGUGGCGAAGGCGGCUCACUGGCCCGGUACUGACGCUGAGAUACGAAAGCGAGGGGAGCAAAUGGG